AUUGAACGCUGGCGGCAGGCUUAACACAUGCAAGUCGAGCGGAGAUGAGGUGCUUGCACCUUAUCUUAGCGGCGGACGGGUGAGUAAUGCUUAGGAAUCUGCCUAUUAGUGGGGGACAACAUUCCGAAAGGAAUGCUAAUACCGCAUACGUCCUACGGGAGAAAGCAGGGGAUCUUCGGACCUUGCGCUAAUAGAUGAGCCUAAGGCGGAUUAGCUAGUUGGUGGGGUAAAGGCCUACCAAGGCGACGAUCUGUAGCGGGUAUGAGAGGAUGAGCCGCCACACUGGGACGGAGACACGGCCCAGACUCCUACGGGAGGCAGCAGUGGGGAAUAUUGGACAAUGGGGGGAACCCUGAUCCAGCCAUGCCGCGUGUGUGAAGAAGGCCUUAUGGUUGUAAAGCACUUUAAGCGAGGAGGAGGCUACUGAGACUAAUACUCUUGGAUAGUGGACGUUACUCGCAGAAUAAGCACCGGCUAACUCUGUGCCAGCCGCCGCCGUAACAC
rnacentral:rRNA from 1 species